rnacentral:snRNA from 1 species
GUGCUGGCUUCAUCUGCACACCUAACCAGAGUUGGAACCAUGCAGAGAGGCGUUGCCUGGCCUCUGUGUGAGGAUGACAUGCAAAUGUAUGAAGCUUCCCAUCAUUUU